AGAAAGACACGAAAGGUCAUGUAUUGUAUGAUUCCAUUCAUAGGAAGGGCUCAGAACAAGUAAAUCCAUAGAGACUGAAAGUAAAUUAGUGGUUGCCAGGGGCUGGAGGAAGAGGGAAUGGGGUAUGGCUGAUUAACAGUACAGGGUUACAUUUUGGGGUACUGAAAAUGUCCUGGAAUUAGAUAGAAUAAUGGCUGCACAACAUUGUGAAUGCACUAAAUCAUACACUUUAAAAUGGUUAGUUUUGAGUUCUCAGACAAUCCAGAUAUACAUCUUCUCUUGGGUCGGAUUCUUGGACUCUCUCCCCAGCAUGGCCCCUAAAGGCCUUUCGUGCCUGGGUCAAACAAAGACGGGGAGAUUGUCUCCUGCUUCCAGGCCAGAGGAGACAUCAACCUCUCUGGACUUGCCACAGAAAGAAGAAGAGCAAGGAGCAAAUGAACAUACUGAUGAGGUACAAAAUGAAAUAGAUGGACUUAAGGAAAAAGCCAGUGAAGAAUUUUGAAGUGAUAACAGAAAUAUAACAAACGCCCCAAUCAUGUUUCCAAAGGAGGAUGGAAUUGAUCAUCCAAAUCCCAAAUUCUGGAGUAAUAGCAUCUGUCAACCACUCACAAAUCUGCUACUACUUGGAGAGGAAGACGAAGAGGCAUUAUCUGACCAGAGUCGAAGUGACCAAAUUUGAAGAUAUUAAAUCAUUAUAGAAUAGGUGUUCAUUUUGAUAAAAACCCUUCCUUCAAAAAUAAAGUUCUCUCCAGAGAAUUUCAUCUGGAUGAGAGUGUGAUCCAUCUUCAAAGCCUACUGAAAUCAGAUGGAAAUCGGAAAGGAUUUGAAGAGAUGCUCCAGUCAAAUGCAAAAUAAAGGCAGUGGGAAGAGGGAGCAUGAGAAACCAGAGAGCUUCUUUUUCUGGUUUACUGGCCAUCCUGAUGCAGGCACAGAUGAGUUAGGAGAGGACAUCCAAGAUGGUAUUUGGCCAAAUCCGUGACAGUACAUAUUAGUUCCUGACAUGAAUGAUGAAGAAGGGGAUGGAGGAGAGGAAUAUACUAAUGAAAACGGGAAUGGGAAUGAAGGAGAAGAUGAGGAAGUGGGGGAGGUAGGAGAUGGAGGAAAUGAAAAAUGGAAGACUGAUGGAGUCCAAUCUUCUUGUUUUAAUUUUCUCCAGUCCCCUUGUGCUUGGUCAUGCUAUUCUUGAAAUCUAUCUUCUCUCCUUUACACCAUGGGUCUCAACUUAUUUUGGGGGGCAAUUUGAGCACAAUACACUGGGAAGAGAAACGCUACCCUUUUCUAUUCCAAAUUUAUUCUAAUCCCUUUCUGUCUCAACCAAAACUUCAUAUAAACAACACUACUGUGCUCUCUGGGGGACAAAAAAACAAAACAAAACUAAACAAAACACAACAAACAAAACACCCCAUCUGCUCCCUUAGCUCUGCUAGAAGAUGGAGAGUGCUUGGUUCCCAUGUGUUGGUGCAUAGAAUUCUAGCUUUUCUCCUUUUCCUCAAUAUUGGGCUCAGAUAUUACAUGUCUUUAUGUGAAUAUGGACAGUUAGCAUUUACCAACAUGUAUAUGUCUACUUUCUUGUGUUUUUAUUUACUUCUUUUUAAAUGGGUUUCUAGAAGAUCAGAGAAGGGUGGGUUAGAGAUCUCUUGGUGAGAGAUGAAGUGGGCAUCUUUAUAGCAUAGUUUCUCCUUUGGCAUGUUUAAUUGUGAUGUUUAAUGGGCAUCCUUGAAGUUUAGGAUGACACUUUAGAAAUAAAAUCCUCUCCUCAUGACUUGAGCCCUACCACUGGAUAGGAGACUCAGCAAGCCUAUAAGAACUUAUCUGGAAUUGACAUUCUCUAGUGUAAUUUUGUUCCUGUUUAUUUUUAAAUUUUCUUUUUGUUUCACUGGGUGGGGGGGAAUGGUCAGUUUUAAACACUAACAGUGUACAAGUUGCUUUGUUAUAAAACAACUAAACAGACACAAAUAAAUGUUAAUUUUAUGUGUAACAGGAGGAAUUAAAACUUGCAACUUAAUGCCCAAAGAUUAGCUGCUCAUGAAAUUUUAGAGCUAAUACUAGGGAUAGAAGAAAAAGUGAGGCACCAUCACAGAAAACAGGAGCAGCACCAGAAUAAAGCAUCUAGAAUAACGACAUUUUAAUUAUGUGAUAUCAAAAAGUUUUUGUGAGACCAGCAACAAGUGAGACAUUGUAGAGUAUACAAAAUGUGAACGUAUCCACAAAUAAAGUGUGAGUUUUUCAAAGACCAGAUGAACUCACUGUAAGCAAUAUGAGAGAAAUUAAAAUCAAUACAGAAAGAACCAAGAUGCCGUUC